AAGGCAUUGUAACCACAGCCUACAAAAUACAUCGCUCCUGUUCCGUCACAGCUUCUCUGCAACAGCAAGCAAAUCAUCACAUUUGGCGAUGUCUAACCAAGUACUAAGUCAAAGGGUUGUGCAAUAUAUGCUUUCACAUUUUGUUUCGUAUGCAAAUGUUAUCAGCUCAGGCCAUGUUCCAGCUGAUACAAGA